GCCCUCCCUUCUCCACCUCUUCCAGCUGGCAGUCCGACUUACCCACUCCAGCACCCUCAGGAAAGCCAGGGGCUCCUUCAGCGCCCGGAAGGUUCCCUUGGAGGCGAGCUGGUGGGGGGGGGGGGGAGAGAGAGAAAAGCCAGUGAGGGCAGAGUUAGGGCAGGAGGGGUGCCAACCCCCGUGGCGAAGCCUCCCGGCGCGCGCGCUUCCCCCUGCCUCCCUCCCUCCCUCCCUCCGGCGCCCUUACCUGGUUAACGGGUUCCAUCCCUGCCCGGCUUUUGGCGCGCAAACUUCAGCUUCCCCGGAGGAGGCGGCGUCCAGGUGCAAGGAGCGCCCUGGAGAGGCUCUAGGCGGCUUGCCCGCGCCGAGCAAGGCAGCCGAGGAGCCCGGGUUGGAGCGAGCGAGGCGGGCGGGGGGGAAAAACCCAGAAGAGCUGAGCUCCCAGCGAACAUCCACGCCCGAGCCGAGCGCGCAGGGCGGAGGGAAGGAGAGGAGGAGGAGGAGGAGGUGGGGUGGGCUGCCCGGGCUCGCCGCUCUGCCGCGCUUUAGUCGCCUGAAGAAGCGAGUGCGAGGUGGCCGGGCCGCUGCUUGAGAGAGGAGGGGGACGCUUCAGCCGCUCGCUUCGCCUUCUCACGGGCUGAGCGCUUCUCCCCUCACAAACCUCUGGACGGUGCUGGCGCGCUUCCUCAGCAUGUCGAAGCGGAGGCAGAAAUAAGAACAGGAGGAGGACUUUUUGAAGAGAGGGGACGCGCUGCCACUCCGGCGCGUUUUUUCCCGCGCAGCGUCCCUGCGAAUAGCGGCGCGCUCGCUUCAGUCGGCGUCUUCCCGCCGAGGGAAGAGCUGCGCCCUCCCUCUCGCGCGCGGUGUGGGACUCGUAGCCCGAUCCUACGUCUCCUCAGAAGCCGCCUUAUACCGAGUCAGAGCACUGGCCCGUCUAGCUCAGUAAAGCCUACACUGUCUGGCAGCAGCUACAUGGAGAGGCCUGGGGUUGACCCCGGGACCUUUUGCUUGCAAGGCGGACCCUCUACCACUAUCUAUGGCCCUUCCCCUCUUACUUGGGAGUAAGCCCCAGUAGGGGUGACAGCACAGUCCGUGUGUGCAAAUGCCAUAAGCAAAAAUAAACCCCUGCCUCCAAGGAGUUUACAGUCUGAAAUAAGCAAUGGGGAAAGCAAUAGAGGGAGCAGUGGAUGCAGAUAAUGUUUACUACACCAUGUAUGCGGUUUAGCCCUGUCUCUCCCUCUGUGUGUAUUUUUCUCACAGUUAAGCUAAAUUAGAUUUCUUUCCAGCAUGUAUGCGCUAGGUUUGUACACAUCCUCAGCAAAUGUACAGUGCAAUCCUAACCAUGCCUACCAUGAGAAGCAGGUCUUACUGAAUUGAGUGGGGCUUGCACCUGGGUAAAUGGGGUUGUCUCCCUAAUCUAGGAGUCAGCACUAUUCAUUGAUCACCAGUGGGAUUUGCUUCACUGGAAGCUGACAUGCAGAGGACUAGGCUGCAUAAGGAAGUGGGUAGAAAGCAAGCCAAAGAGGUAACUACAGCCAAGUCGUCUGAGGGUUUUAUGGCUGCAAUGAUGUGCUACUCUUUGGACUGGCAGAGAUCAGCAUGAGGAUUAGCACAGUGUGACCUACAGGUGUUGGGCAAUGGCAUGCUUCUUUGGCAGCACACCAAUUAGAGCCUUAAAAGUCCUCUAAUUAUAUGCUCCUCUUCAUGGAAACUAAAACCUCAUUAAAGAGUCACUGUUGUUGUUUUUUGCAGCGUUCCUCACAAUAUCGAGAUAAAACAUCCCGGAACAUCACACAUCACUUGAAAUGCUACACUGUUUUGAACACACCAGCUUGGCUGCUGCCUUUCUUCAAGCACCAAGGGGACAUUCUUGAGUGUAUUUAUUUAGAACACACCAUUGGGAUGUGUGCCACUUGAAUCCCGAAUGGAUUCUUCCUCUGGGGUGCAAGCAGGAGGCUGCUAUUCUACCCCUCAAGCAAAUCUAAAUGAGAGGAGGCAUGGCAUGAAGGGUUCCUGUGAGGCCUCUGCCUCUCUUCUCGAUGGGGCACAUUUCUGAGGAGCAACAGAGUGGAAUUCCUGACAUUAUUCCUCCACCCCAAGGAAGAAAAACAGAACCCAGAGGAGUGUACGUAAAGCUCUGGGUGUCAUAAAAAUGCAAAUACAUGUAAUGGAAAAGUUUCGGCAUUUUAAACCCUGCCCCCCAUGACUCUGCUUGAUCCCUCUGUUUCUACAGCUAUCCUCCCACCCCUUCUUUCUUGAUCUUUGCUACCUCAAUGUUUAUGAGACAUUUUAAAAAUACAGUGGUACCUCGGGUUGCAUACACUUCAGGUUACAGACUCCACUAACCCGGAAAUAGUGCUUCAGGUUAAGAAUUUUGCUUCAGGAUGAGAACAGAAAUUGUGCUCCGGCGGCAUGGCAGCAGCAGGAGGCCCCAUUAGCUAAAGUGGUGCUUCAGGUUAAGAACAGUUUCAGGUUAAGUACGGACCUCCGGAAUGAAUUAAGUACUUAACCCGAGGUACCACUGUAUGGGAAACACAAAUUUGCAAUUUGGAAAACUUUAUUUCUUAAAAGAGAACCAAACCUUGAAAGCAGAAGAAAGGAAGAGAGCGCUAAAGCUCUAACCAAAAGCUUAUUCACAUAAGAUAGAAUACAUGAUCAUUUAAAUAUUUCCAAGCCCUGUUUUAGAUUCUGCCCCAUAUCUACAUUUGUAUUUGCACUUUACCCAAUUCGAAUUCCCUAUUACAAUCUGAUUUCACGCCUGCAUUAACUUAUGAAAUUACCUGUUCUACCUCUCAGAAUAUUCACACUUAACUUUGCUUAAGCAUUUACUUCGUUAGCUUUGGUUUUGAAAUCCCUAAAUAUCUCCAGAUGUUGUUGGACUACAGUUCCCUGGCCUUAUGACAUGGUGGCUAGGGCUGAAAGGAGUUUGAAUCCAGCAACUUCUGCAGGGCCACAGGUUAGCCAACCUGCCACAAGUGGGCUGUGGUAUUUCAGAAACAGCCCCUCUUAGAUUAACCCUGUUCAAGAACUUUGUGUAGUUUCUGAGGCCCUUUCUCAUGGUCCACCCCCACUGGCAGAGGUGUGGUUGGUGAGAACAAGACAGAACAUCAUUUUGAUUGUGGCACCCAGAUUAUGGAAUGACCUCACUCAGCAUGAUUCUUUGGCCUCCUCUGCCUGCUUUUUAGAGGUAAGAGUAGUCUGGUCAGCUGUUUCUAUCCUGAAGGAUUGAAGUAAUUGUUGGGGAAUAAUCUGUGUAAUACUUUUGCCAUGAUCUAAAACAGAAAUACUACUGUAUAUGACUAUUUAUUGAUUCUCACCUCAUUAUUUUUUAAAAACAAAGAAUGGAAAGCUGAUUUUUCCACAUUUGCAUCUGUUUUAAAAGCUAGCUUGAAUAUGUAACACACAGGAUCAGACCAAUAGAUUUAUGUGUUGAAAUAAUUGUCUCAUUUUCAUCAUAGGACUAUAGGACACUCUCUCACGCUGAGUCAAGGCCAUUGGUCCAUCUAGUUCAGCACGGUCUACUCCGGCAGCAGCUAUCAAAGUUUCAGACAGGACACUCUCAGCUUUCCCCAGAAAUGCCAGGAAUUGAACCUGGAAACUUCUGCAUGGAAAGAAAAUACUCUACUGCAGAGCUAUGGCCUUUCACCAUGAGCUAAGCCCACGAGUUAAUGGAAAUUGCAAUAUUUAGAAAUGUUGCAACUUAGUUAUUAAAAAAAUUAAAGCCCUCCAAAUAAAAUAACCAGCAGAAUCUCUAAAGAUCAUCCCAGGAGGGACUGUGUAAUGGGAUGUUUCUCUAGCCCCUUAAUAAAAACUGCAUUU